UGGCAAAAGCUGACCCAACCCAUCAACCCGACCCGAACCCAACCCGUUAUUAAUGGGUUGGGUCAAGAUUUUCCAACCCGUUUAGCUAAACAGGUCAACCCAACCCAACCCGUUUAAUAAAUGGGUUGGGUCAGGUUGAAAACUUCAACCCGAAAGCAACCCGUCUAACCCGUUUAAUUAUUGGGUCACAGGUCAACCCGCCAACCCGUCAACCCGCUAACCCAACCCACAACCCGCUUAAAUGUUUUAAAAAAAAAAUCACUAAAAAACUUUAAUUAUUUCUGGGCUUUUUUUUUGGGCUUUAGCUUUUAAGUCUUAUUCUCUAAUAUCAUAUGAAGAAAACCCUAGCAUAUCUCACGCCUCUCAUUCUCUCACUCAAACACUCAGUCUCUCUCUCACUCUCUCUCUCUCAGUCUAUCUCAUUCUCUCUAAACUGAAACCCUAAUCUCUCAAGCGGCGCCUCUCAUUGAUCUCCACUCACCACCGCGCCGAUCGUCGGUCUCCGGCUCAACGCAACGCUAGUCGAUCACUCACUCUGAUUCAACAUCCAAGUAUCAACAAUGGAAGGCUUCACCAGGAACUCAAGAUUUCAACAAAGUUUGAUUCAUAUUAAACUAGCUUAAUUUGAACAAUUUAUUAGCUUUGUAACUUAUUUGAAUUUUAGUUUUAUGUUGGAUUGGGUCACGUAUUAAACUUUUAUUUCUGAUUUGGUGAUGUAUUAAGCCUUAUGACUUGUGGCAGGAUAUUAAUUAAUGGCAAAUUUUGCCAAUUUACGA